AACAAUAAGUGUAUACAAUUAUAAUUAUAUAGAUACUAUAAAACAUAUACCCAUUCUUUUUACAAAAAAAAGGUGGGCAAACAUCAAUGUCAUAAAUAAAAUUACACAUAUGAGACAAAUUUUUUGAACGUCUGCUUUUUUAGGGACCAUAGCAACAUAUUUGCACUUUUCUUUCUCAGACAGAGAUGCAUCUACUUCAUCAGCAGCACGAGCAUUUGGCCUCUAAGACACGAACCUUUUAACCACAUGCUUCUAUCUUCACCUAGAAUUUCAUCACACCACUCUAAAUAGCUGCAUCCAGUCUCAUUCUAGUUGUUAACACGAUAAGAUAAAUAUGUGUUAGAUAUAUGCUUACAAUGGAACACCAAUAUGCUUCUACAUUAUCUUAAUGAAAGAAUAUUACAUACCUUCCAGUUAGAGCAUUAUUAGAAAUGCCAAUUGUAGUUAUCAUGUGUCUUUGAUAUAAACACACGUAUCCGAUGACAUCCUGGUUUGCAUUUACAAAUCCUUGGAGGGAAUUGAUUGUCGAGAUCCAUUCAGUUAAAAUGAUCAGAUGAGCUCAAAUGCCCUAUUCUCACUCUAUCACAUCCAUGGAUUGCAACAGCCAUUGAAGUGAACAUAUGCAAACUAUUUUAUCUGAGAGCAAAGAAAACACCACAAACCAAAAAGUAAAGCAUGAUAGGGAAUACCGUAGAGGAAAAAAGGUCACAAUUUUAUCAUAGUCGAUCUACAUAAACUCAUUUUAACUGAGUCAAGGGAACAUAAUCGAUACCUAAGGUAUACAGUAGAGGAAACAAAACCAUCACUUUCUUGAUUAUGAUGAAUGAUUGUAAUACUCCAAGUCCUAAGGAAUGCCAUUUCGAAAUUCCUGCAUUAUAUUGUCUCUCUAAAUGUGAUGUUUCCCUAAGUACUCUCUCUCUCUGAUAAAGCCUAUGGUUAAUAAGGAUACCAAGACUAGAUAAAAUGAGUUUAUAUCACAAUUUUAUCAUAUCGAUCUACAUAUAUGUCACAAUUUUCAGAGCAAAAAAGGUAUACAGUAGAGGAACAACACCUAGCUCAGGCAAUACCUACCUAAAAUUUUCAACACUGCUUCUAAGAAAACAUUUUGGAACAAAGUGGAAAAAGAAUUUCUACAUGCUUCAUCAUCUUCAUAUGGAAGUACGAAUCGGAAGCUAUUGAAUGGUGCUUAUGUUGGUUCAUGUCACAACAAAGGCCAAAAAUGCCAACUUUCAUGAAACUCUGACUAACAUCUAAAUAAACCGAGGAAACUAACAUUCUUUACAUAAAACCAAUGAAGUGAAUCAAAAUUAGUAAUUAUUGUAACAAUCGAACAAUGAAAAACUAUAACACAAGUAUCACAAUUAACUGAUGAAUCUAUUAACUGAUGAAUCUAUCAAUGAAAAACUAAAACACAAGUAUCACAAUUAACUGAUGAAUCUAUUAACUGAUGAAUCUAUCAAUGAAAAACUAAAACACAAGUAUCACAAUAUAUACCAUUUUUAAAUCUUAAUUUGUUUCCCAUAUGUAUAAUAUUCAAGGCCAAAUAAUUUGAUGCAAAGAUUUUUAAUACUUGAACUACAAUUUUAGAUGACUUAUGCAGUGAGACUUUAUUUAUUUUAACAGGGUAGCAGCCCUGUUGCACCAUUAUUGGCAACUCUAGUUCGUGGGUGGGAACACUUACCUUAAAGAGUCACCUUUUUGUUCCAAUGGAGGGAGAGGUUCUAGAGAGAGAAUGAAGUGUGUGUGAGAGAGUUAAAGGGCUCGAUUUAUAUCGUGAGUUAGUGAAAGAAAAGCUUAGAGAAAUUGGGUAUUGUUCUACAACAAUACUUGAAUAUCCCAAAUACUAAGCAACAUUUUUACCUCGAUCAUUAUUCAACCGUUGAAAACCAGAAUACACAGGGUUUUGCAUCAAAUACAAAGAAAAAACCAUAUAUUUGCCAAUAAACGAAAGAAAACUAUAAAUAAUAUCUACAACAAUACUUGAAUAACCCAAAUACUAUGCAACAUUUUUACCUCGAUCAUUAUUCAACAGAUGGAAACCAAAAUACACAGGGUUUUGCAUCAAAUACAGAGAAACAACCAUAUAUUUGCCAAAAAAUGAAAGCAAACUAAAACAAAAACAAAAUUCUGAGAAAAAAAUGCAAUAAAAAAAUCUAGGCAGAACAUGCUACAGAGAACGAACCAUAUAUACAAAUGAUUUUGCUCAGUAUUUGGGAUAUUCAAGAAAUGAAAACAAAAUCUGGGCAAAAAUGCUAUAAAAACGAAAACAAAAAUAUGGGCAAAAAAUGCUACAAAAAAAUCUAGACAAAAAAUGCUACAAAGAAAGAACCAUAUAUACACAGGGUUUUGCUCAAUAUUUUAGAUAUUCAAGAAACAAAAAAAAAUCUAGGCAAAAAUGCUAUAAAAACAAAAGAAAAAUUUGGGCAAAAAAUGCUACAGAGAAAGAACCAUAUAUACACAUGGUUUUGCUCAGUAUUUGGGACAUUCAAGAAACGAAAACAAAAUCUGGACAAAAAUGCUAUAAAAGUGAAAACCAGAGGAAACCAAUCUCGACAAAAAUGCUCAGAUUGGGUGCUGUUCUUUGGGUGUUUGGGGGUUUUAGUGUAUAUCGAGAGUGAAAACCAGAGGGUGAGAUGGAAAUAAAAAAACCAGAGAGAGAGAUGGAAAUAGAAAAAUGGGAGAGAAGAGAGACCGUUAGCAUACAUUGAGAGGAAGAGAGUUUUUGUACGAGAUCCGUGGGUUUGAGGAGCAAGGACAAAUGGUAGCAGUAGGGAGAGAGCUUGUUUUAGCAAGCAUAAGCUUCUCUGCGGAGGAGUGAGAAUACACGGAGAGGAGAGGGAAUAUGCAGAGAGAGAAUGUGCAUAGAGAAUAUGCAGAGAGAGCGAGAGGAGAGAGAAUAUAUAGAGAGAACGAGAGGAGAGAGAAUAAACAGAGAGCGAGAGGAGAGAGAAUACACAGAGAGAGCGAGAGGAGAGGGAGUACUC
rnacentral:lncRNA from 1 species